UUUAAUUGAAGAGUUUGAUCAUGGCUCAGAUUGAACGCUGGCGGCAGGCUUAACACAUGCAAGUCGAGCGGUAGCACAGGGGAGCUU
rnacentral:rRNA from 1 species